CCUGCCUACCAGCCCCUUGUCUAUGGGCUACUUCUGUCCUGCGUGGGCACACACAUCAUACUGGCUUGCAGCUUUCUGGACCAACACAAAUGGCUGGCACAUGGACAAAAAUGACAAUGGCUCAUGCUGCCGGGGCUGGCGUGUUUUGCAGUAAGUUCUAACUAAGUGGAGACCAUGAGGCCACUGGCUGGACAUCAAAGGCACCCACCGUGGGCUCAGCCUGCUGGAAACAGGGACACAGGAUGCAGCCUCCUGGUCUGCUCACAGCAAAGGAUGUCCUCGGAAGAUGUUUAAAGGAAUGUACUAUUCUUAAGGACAAAGAUGGGCAUCAAUUUUGUUUACUGCUGUAUCUCAAGCACUGCAACAGCACCCAGCCCAUAUUAGAUGCUCCAAUAUUUGAGUAAAUGAAUGACUGAAUAUAUCCUG